ensembl:snoRNA
AUGCUUUUUGCCUAAUAACAAAAAGAUGAGGCUUUACCGCUGGGUUUAAGAAGUGCAAUAUUAAAACAAAAGCCAGGAGUCUUUUAAGCCCAGUGUGUAGAUAAAUGCUGGAUUGUAACUCAGAGACACAAUG